UACGAAGGGGGCUAGCGUUGCUCGGAAUCACUGGGCGUAAAGGGCGCGUAGGCGGCUUCGCAAGUGGAAGGUGAAAUCCCUCGGCUUAACCGAGGAACUGCCCCUCCAAACUGCGUGGCUUGAGUCCGGGAGAGGUGAGUGGAAUUCCCAGUGUAGCGGUGAAAUGCGUAGAUAUUGGGAGGAACACCAGUGGCGAAGGCGGCUCACUGGACCGGAACUGACGCUGAGGGCGCGAAAAGCGUGGGGGGAGCAAAACGGG
rnacentral:rRNA from 1 species